ensembl:lncRNA
GCUUCAUAACGUUUUUUAAAAAUAAUGUGUGACAAAAGCUGAACUACAUAAAAGAAGAGCAGAAUUAGUAAACUGCACUGCUCAUUGGAAAAGAAAAAGUCUCACUAAGGAAUAAAGAAGAGACCAUAACCACAGACACUGUGAGGAUCCGAGAGCAGCAUUCAGCCCCAUCUCCUACAUUGGAAGAAUGGAAAAAGCCAAACAUCCAUCACCUUUUUACUUUGACAAAUACAGUACUGUGUCCCAGCGACCCCAGAGGCUGAUAAUCACAGUGUCCUCCAUGCUGAAAGGGGAACUGAGGAAGGCCAAAAGCUCAUCCACCUUCUACUUAACGUAAUUUAUAGGAUUGAGGGAUCACGCAGAGGUGGUGGGUACUGUUGCCCAAGGCCCCGAGGAGAGACAGCAGAACUGCCUCAGAAGCAGGGGCAGAUUGUCGGGCUCCCAGGUGCCUGUGCUGGUCCCUUGCGGUUAUUCUGAGUUUCCCAGGACUAGUGGAAGAACUGAGGGCAGAGAUGCUGAUCAUCUCUGUCCUGGCCCCACCCCAAGGCUGAUAAUCCGGCGGCCCUCACCUCCCUCUUCCUGCCAUUUCCCAGAGCCAUGGAACUCCACAUGUCCUGCUACAAACAGCUGUCACUGCUCACUGGGGGAGCUGAGCCCAGAAAAGCGGCCCUUCCACAUCAGCUCACCUGGGAGAGGUGUUAGCAUCAUCCAGGGAUCAGGAGCCCUAGUAACGGGGAGUGCACAAACCCUGUUUCGUCUGAAUGCCCAAUGAGCAAGACACAUGGGUCACAAGGGACCUCGGAGGGAGAAGCCUCCUGCUGGGUCUGGGGGGGCUCCCUUCUGUAAUCCCAGCACCCAGGAGGCUGAGGCAGAUGGACCUCUUUGAGUAGGAAAUAUAUCUUAGAUCCUAAGGUUAUGAAUGGGGGACUCAGAAGUUAACUGUAUCACACUCAUAUGGCAGGUGCUAUGUGUCCUCGAACUCAAUUCUUUAAUCCAGGCCCAAAUAGAACAAAGAGGCAAAUAUUGCUGUAACCCAGAAAGAUCACCACUGUGCCCCUCUGCUGUUCCAGCUCCAUAGUCUGUGCCAGGCGUGCCCGGGGCUCUCUUAAAGCUGCUCCCUCAUCACUCCACGUCACCACAGUCUUAAACACCCAGAUCCUUCAUCUCCCAGCCCCUGUAUCCCCUUGCAGUACCCCAACUUCCAGAAUAAAUUCUGCUAUGGUCACUUAUUUUAUUUGACUAUUAUUUUUUGAGGGAGGGGAGUUGAGGUAAAGUCUUGCUUUGUGUCCAGGCUGACCUUGAGCUCACUAUGUAGCCAAG